GCCUGCAGUCAUGCCUCCUUGGGCAGGGAGCCCAUCAGAUUUUACAAGCCACGCAGGGUUAGGGUUGGUGAAAACGUGAAUGGGGAUGCCUAGAACAACAAUGGCAGCAGGCA
ensembl:rRNA 5S_rRNA 5S ribosomal RNA